rnacentral:misc_RNA from 1 species
GAUGAGACGUAGCGAAAUGCGAUAAGUAGUGUGAAUUGCAGAAUUCAGUGAAUCAUCGAAUCUUUGAACGCACAUUGCGCCCCUUGGUAUUCCAUGGGGCAUGCCUGUUCGAGCGUCAUUUGUACCUUCAAGCUCUGCUUGGUGUUGGGUGUUUGUCUCGCCUCUGCGUGUAGACUCGCCUCAAAAUAAUUGGCAGCCGGCGUAUUGAUUUCGGAGCGCAGUACAUCUCGCGCUUUGCACUCAUAACGACGACGUCCAAAAGUACAUUUUUACACUCUUGACCUCGGAUCAGGUAGGGAUACCCGCUGAACUUAAGCAUAUCAAUAAGCGGAGGA